rnacentral:lncRNA from 1 species
UCGGGGUAACAAACUAAAACUGAGGGAAACGCAUUAAAUAUAAGAGAACAACGACACAACACUACAAUGUAACACAAACAGAAACGGACCAAGCAACAGACAAAAUCCCACGAGAAUAACAAAUAUAACAUCAAAACCAAAUUCAUGAAUUUGGGAUAGACAAGUACCGUGACACGUCUUAUCGCAAUGUGAAUUUACACUAAAAAAUAAGAG